rnacentral:rRNA from 1 species
AUUGAACGCUGGCGGCAGGCCUAACACAUGCAAGUCGAACGAGUGGCGGACGGGUGAGUAAUGUCUGGGACACUGCCCGAUGGAGGGGGAUAACUACUGGAAACGGUAGCUAAUACCGCAUACCAUAAGAUGUGCCCAGCUGGGAUUGGCUAGUUGGUGGGGUAACGGCUCACCAGGGCGACGAUCCCUAGCUGGUCUGAGAGGAGGAACAGCAACACGGGAAAUGAGACACGGUCCAGACUCCAACGGGAGGCAGCAGUGGGAAAUAUUGCACAAUGAGCGCAAGCCUGAUGAAGCCAUGCCGCGUGUAUGAAGAAGGCCUUCGGGUGGAAAAGUACUUUCAGCGGGGAGGCGUUACCCGCAGAAGAAGCACCGGCUAACUCCGUGCCAGCAGCCGCGGUAAUAC